AUAUUUGUGUGUAUUUUUAACUUUUCUGUGAAACUGAAAACAGAAAAACACAAUAAAAAAAGAUAAAUUAGAAAACGUCCCGUCGGAUUUCAACUUCUUAAAGACGAUAAUAAUUCAUAAACGUGUCAACGGUUAUGUGUUCAGAUUGUCGAUGGGCGGUGGUCAGGGCCCCCCCUCCCCCCUCAAGUCCUCCAAAUUCCCAUCCUCUGCUUCUGCUGCCGCCAAGAGGAUCGGGAGAAGUCCGGCGUCAACAGCGUCCAACAUCAGGAGUCUCUUCAGUCUGAGUACAUCCAGUACUAGAACUACAGAUCUCACCUGAGGACUCAUUACCCACAAUCCCCUCAGUGUGUGGGGGACGCUCAAAGGGAAUAAAGCAGCUUGGUGACUGAAUAGACUCUGAAAGCAGCUGCUCGUACUGUAUGCUAAUGAGCGGUAUGUUAAUGAGCAACAUGCUAAUGAGCGGUAUGUUAAUGAGCAACAUGCUAAUGAGCGGUAUGUUAAUGAGCAACAUGCUAAUGAGCGGUAUGUAAAUAUGAUGUAAUCUACACGCGUGUGUUUGGCUGAAGAAGAUGUAUUUAGAUAAAGACAGAUUUUAUAUUUCUUAUUUGUGACAGAAGAUAUUUUUGUUUCUUUUGAUAAACAAAGGAUCAGCUGACGUCUCUCCGUCGUCAUGGUUACAGUGUUUACUUCAUGUCUCCGACCAGUGAUUGUUCGGUUUUAUUCUUUUAUAAUCAACAGCAAUAAUAACAGUAGAAGAAGAGAAAGGGACCCAAAAAGUGUGUGUGUGUGUGUGUGUGUGUGUGUGUGUGUGUGUUAAAUGAUUAUUUCUACAUUAAUGGUUUUGUCUAUAAAAUAAUGUCUCAGAGUCCUGAUGUCUUUAAAUGUUCUGUCACUUUAAUAUAAAACAAGGUUUGAGGCUCACUUUUAAUCAGAAUCGAUUAUUCUCUGUCUCUUUAACGAAACUGAUGAGAAACACUUUUAACUUUAAAGUGAAUGUUUCAUAAAGCUGCAGCUUCUUCAGUUCAAUAAUGACCCUCAAGUUACCGUGACGACGGAUAUCAUUCGUUUAACAAUUUAAAAUAAACCACUUAACAAAUGAAUCCCUGAAUGUUCAUGUUACGUACUAUAUCACCCGCAUCUUAUUAAAUAAAUAUAUAAUAUUCAGUAUGAAUGAGUAACUUAAAGGAGUUAAAAUGAAUAUUUGUAUAAAAUGUUUUUGAUCAUGUGACGCCAGCGGAUUGAGAAUAUUUAGAUUCCUGUUUGUGUCGUCAGCUGAUUGGCCGUCUGGAGACAAAGUUCUUAAAGCUCUGAUUGGCUGAAAGGGUCACGUGACUCGAGAUCCUUUAAGACGUUCAGGAGGAAACAGACUUUUUCAAAAUAAAAGCUCCAGGGACCAACAUGAAACGUUUUAUUCCUGAAAGGGAACUGUGUGUUUAUCAGCUGAUCUGUGUUAUUAAUAUUUAUAUUUAAGGUUUCAACAUGUUAAAACUUUAUUUUCAUACACCGCAGCAGAGGGCUUUUAUUUUGAAAUGUACCCGUCCUGACUGAUGAAGAUGUUUAACUUUAUUUUGCCGAUCUUGUAUUUUAUUUGAAUGUUUAAGUAUUUUAUUAAAGGGAAAUGUUAGAAAAUAACUUGUAGAUUUUACAGAAAAUAAACUAAUUAUUCUUCUGACGCUGUUCCUGUUUUCAUAUCUGAGAGAAAUAAUUUACUAAAAUACUGAAGCACAAAUUACUUUAGUACUUUAGUCGAGUAUUUAUA
ensembl:lncRNA